rnacentral:rRNA from 1 species
GUAAACCCAAGGUUUCCAGGGGAAGGUUCGUCCGCCCUGGGUUAGUCGGGACCUAAGCUGAGGCCGAAAGGCGUAGGUGAUGGACAACAGGUUGAUAUUCCUGUACUACCGAUAACCGGUUGAGAGAAGGGAUGACACAGUAGGAUAAGCUAAGCACACUGUUGGUUAUGUGUGCCCAAGCAUUGAGGCAGUCAAAGUAGGCAAAUCCGCUUUGAUAAUGCUGGGAUGUGAUGGGGAGCGAAAUUU